AGCUUUGCGCGUGGCAGUAUCAUAGCCAAUGAGGUUUAUCCAAGGCGCAAUUAUUGCUAAUUGAAAACUUUUCCCAAUACCCUGCCAUGAAGACUUGCAAUAUAGUCGGCAUUGGCAACUUUUGACAAUCUCUACGGAGA
rnacentral:snRNA from 1 species